rnacentral:rRNA from 1 species
GACGAACGCUGGCGGCGUGCCUAAUACAUGCAAGUUGAGCGAUGAAGAUUGGUGCUUGCACCAAUUUGAAGAGCAACGAACGGGUGAGUAACGCGUGGGGAAUCUGCCUUUGAGCGGGGGACAACAUUUGGAAACGAAUGCUAAUACCGCAUAACAACUUUAAACAUAAGUUUUAAGUUUGAAAGAUGCAAUUGCAUCACUCAAAGAUGAUCCCGCGUUGUAUUAGCUAGUUGGUGAGGUAAAGGCUCACCAAGGCGAUGAUACAUAGCCGACCUGAGAGGGUGAUCGGCCACAUUGGGACUGAGACACGGCCCAAACGCCUACGGGAGGCAGCAGUAGGGAAUCUUCGGCAAUGGACGAAAGUCUGACCGAGCAACGCCGCGUGAGUGAAGAAGGUUGUCGGAUCGUAAAACUCUGUUGGUAGAGAAGAACGUUGGUGAGAGUGGAAAGCUCAUCAAGUGACGGUAACUACCCAGAAAGGGACGGCUAACUACGUG